rnacentral:rRNA from 1 species
AUUGAACGCUGGCGGCAUGCUUUACACAUGCAAGUCGAACGGUAACAGGCCGCAAGGUGCUGACGAGUGGCGAACGGGUGAGUAAUGCAUCGGAACGUGCCCAGUCGUGGGGGAUAACGCAGCGAAAGUUGCGCUAAUACCGCAUACGAUCUAUGGAUGAAAGCGGGGGACCGUAAGGCCUCGCGCGAUUGGAGCGGCCGAUGUCAGAUUAGGUAGUUGGUGGGGUAAAGGCUCACCAAGCCGACGAUCUGUAGCUGGUCUGAGAGGACGACCAGCCACACUGGGACUGAGACACGGCCCAGACUCCUACGGGAGGCAGCAGUGGGGAAUUUUGGACAAUGGGCGCAAGCCUGAUUCAGCAAUGCCGCGUGCAGGAAGAAGGCCUUCGGGUUGUAAACUGCUUUUGUACGGAACGAAACGGUCCUGGUUAAUACCCGGGGCUAAUGACGGUACCGUAAGAAUAAGCACCGGCUAACUACGUGCCAGCCGCCGCGGUAAUAC